rnacentral:rRNA from 1 species
AUUGAACGCUGGCGGCAGGCCUAACACAUGCAAGUCGAACGCGUGGCGGACGGGUGAGUAAUGUCUGGGAAACUGCCUGAUGGAGGGGGAUAACUACUGGAAACGGUAGCUAAUACCGCAUACCAUUGGAUGUGCCCAGAUGGGAUUAGCUAGUGGGUGGGGUAAAGGCUCACCUAGGCGACGAUCCCUAGCUGGUCUGAGAGGAAGACCAGCCAAACGGGAACUGAGACACGGUCCAGACGCCUACGGGGGGCAGCAGUGGGGAAGUUUGCACAAUGGGCGCAAUCCUGAUACAGCCAGCCCGCGUGUAUGAGGAAGGCCUUCGGGUUGUAAAGUACUUUCAGCGGGGAGGCGGUACCUGCAGAAGAAGCACCGGCUAACUACGUGCCAGCAGCCGCGGUAAUAC